rnacentral:ncRNA from 1 species
GUCACUCUGAAAAGCGGCAUCCUCUGCGGAUGCCCGCCGACGGGGCAAGCGGGCAUCGCCCGUGAAAUCUCUCAGGCCGAUGACAGAGGGGGAGGA